GAUGAAGAACGCAGCGAAAUGCGAUACUUGGUGUGAAUUGCAGAAUCCCGUGAACCAUCGAGUCUUUGAACGCAAGUUGCGCCCGAAGCCAUUAGGCCGAGGGCACGCCUGCCUGGGCGUCACACGUCGUUGCCCCCCCAUCUACUCCUUCGGGAUUGCGGGGGGCGGAUGAUGGCCUCCCGUGCGCCUCGCCGCGCGGUUGGCAUAAAUGCCAAGUCCUCGGCGACGCACGCCACGACAAUCGGUGGUUGCGAAACCUCGGUUGCCCGUCGUGUGCGGUCGUCGCGCAUCGAGGGCUCGAAAAAAUUGCCGGGUUCCGGCUCGGCUUUCAACGCGACCCCAGGUCAGGCGGGGUUACCCGCUGAAUUUAGGCAUAUCAAUAAGCGGAGGA
rnacentral:misc_RNA from 1 species